rnacentral:tRNA from 1 species
GCCUGGGUGGCGCAGUGGUUAAGCAUCUGCCUUCAUUUCAGGGCAUGAUCCCGGUGUUGUGGGAUCGAGCCCCACCUCAGGCU